rnacentral:lncRNA from 1 species
AAUAACUAAAGAAACACAACGUAAACGCACAAGAACAAGCCAAUUAAGUCGCAUAAAUAUGCUCCUAUCACACACCCUACACUAGUAUAUGUGAGAAGAUUAAUGUAAACACAAAAGACUAGGACUCACAUAUGUUAUAACAAAGAAAGCAUUUUUCUGGAGUUAUUAAGCAUGUUUAGAUAUGAUCUCAUUAAUGGAAUGCUACUACUUAGAUGCGAGAACCAGUGACACCAUAUGCUCAUACCAAUUUUGAACUCCACAAAUUGAAACACACAACACUCAAGAUUGAAGUCAAGGGUUGUAACAGGGCUUGAAGGUAAUGGCUAAUAAAGAAAGGAUAGGAAUAACAAACGUUCUUAAAGCGAUAGCAAGCAAAGCAAUGAAAUAGACACUUGGAAUUCACUUUAGAAUGCAGAAUCAAAUUUUAAAUACAAAGGGAAGAUUCAUGCAACACUUAGGGCCGAAUUCAAUGUUUUGGACCCUUUUUUAACAAACAACACUUUAGAACUCUUUUUCAUACUUUUUUUUCUUUUAUUUUUUUUUCUUUUCUCGACCCGUGCCUUAUUAAGGACUCUGAUACACACACACACACACACAAGAAUCACUUCCCCCACACUUCCCCCACACUUAUUAAGAACGCUUGUUAUCCCUAUCCUUUCUUUGUUAGCCAUUACCCCCAAGCCCUGUUAGAACCCUUGACUUCAAUCUUGAGUGUUGUGUGUUUCAAUUUGUGGAGUUUGAAAUUGGUAUGAGCAUAUGGUGUCACUGGUUCUCGCAUCUAAGUAGUAGCAUUCCAUUCAUGAGAUCAUAUCUAAACAUGCUUAAUAACUCCAGAAAAUUGCUUUCUUUGUUAUAACAUAUGUGAGUCCUAAUCUUUCGUGUUUACAUCAAUCUUCUCACAUAUACUAGUGUAGGGUGUGUAGUCAGAAAAUGUGUGUGAAAAUAGAGAGUAUCUUGUAAGGAAUUGAGCAAACUCUCUAAGGCAUGUUACUACAUUCAAAACAUCGUUUUAAUUGAUUAAUUGUGACCUAGUAAGUGGUGACUGUGAUUAAGUAUGUGCUCAAGUGUAAGGAUGACCAAUAUCUGUGGGAAUGAUGAUUUUUAACACGUCAUAUUUCAUUAAAAAUCCCUGAGGCAACUGUUGGAAGGUUAGGUUGUGCUUUGUUUGUUUUGUUUCGUUUUGUUUUUUUUGUUUUGCUCGAGGACUAGCAAAAGCUAAGUGUGGGGGAAUUUGAUAGGAGCAUAUUUAUGCAACUUAGUAGCUUGUUUCUUGGCAUUUACUUAGCUUAAUUCUAGUUAUUUUAGUACUUUAAGCUAUUUUCGUGUGUUUGUAGGUUCAAAUAACAAAGUGCUAUUUGGAGCAUUUUGGAGCAUUUUUGGGCCAAGAUUGGAUAGUGCAAGCAUGGAGACAUGAGGAUGGACGUUUUUGAAGAUUUGAAGGCUAGAAAUCAGAAUGUAUGUGUGCAAGUGUGUUGACCUACACUACAAACAUCCAUCCACUACACCCAUUACAUCCACUCAUGACCAAACAUCCAUACACUACACCCAUUACAUCCACUCAUUACCAACCACUCACCCAUUACACCCAUUA